rnacentral:rRNA from 1 species
CUACGGGGGGCACCAGUGAGGAAUAUUGCACAAUGGGGGGAACCCUGAUGCAGCAACGCCGCGUGGAGGAUGACGCAUUUCGGUGUGUAAACUCCUUUUAUAUGCCAAGAAGAUGACGGUAGCAUAUGAAUAAGCACCGGCUAACUCCGUGCCAGCAGCCGCGGUAAUACGGAGGGUGCAAGCGUUACUCGGAAUCACUGGGCGUAAAGGACGCGUAGGCGGGUUGGAAAGUCAGGUGUGAAAUCCUACAGCUUAACUGUAGAACUGCACUUGAAACUUCUAAUCUAGAGUAUGGGAGGGGGAGAUGGAAUUAGUGGUGUAGGGGUAAAAUCCGUAGAUAUCACUAGGAAUACCUAAAGCGAAGGCGAUCUCCUGGAACAUUACUGACGCUAAGGCGUGAAAGCGUGGGGAGCAAACAGGAUUAGAUACCCUUGUAGUC